CCCCUAGAUGUUCUGGGCCGCACGCGCGCUACACUGGCACACGCAACGAGUCUAUCACCUUGGUCGGCAGGCCUGGGUAAUCUGUGAACGUGUGCCGUGAUUGGGAUUGAUUGUUGCAAUUUUCAAUCAUGAACGAGGAAUUCCUAGUAAACGCGAGUCAUCAGCUCGCAUUGAUUACGUCCCUGCCCUUUGUACACACCGCCCGUCGCACCUACCGAUUGAAUGGUUCGGUGAAAUCUCCGGAUUGGAGCACGCAAGCUUCACGGCGAACGUGCUUUGAGAAGUUGAUUAAACCUCACUAUUUAGAGGAAGGUGAAGUCGUAACA
rnacentral:rRNA from 1 species